CUCCCUCGUUGCUGAUCUCAGGUUCGAUAGUGCCAAUAUCGCACCACCUCGCCUAAAACCAACUUCGAUGAAGCGACGGGCGGUGUGUG
rnacentral:rRNA from 1 species